AAAGAAAUGGGUCCUAGACCCCACACACGCCACUCGGUAAAGAAUCGGGCCUAUAGCUCAGCUGGCUAGAGCACACGACUGAUAAUCGUGAGGUCAGUGGUUCGAGUCCACUUGGGCCCACCAAAUGGGGCUGUAGCUCAGCUGGGAGAGCACCUGCUUUGCAAGCAGGGGGUCACCGGUUCGAUCCCGGUCAGCUCCACCAAAGGGAAGAGGCCCGCGCGCAGCGGGUCGGACGCUGGGGUGGAGAAGUAGGCGGCAGGAAGCGGGUAACAGGUAACAGGAAGUAGAGAGUAGGAAAGUAAUUAAAGAGUCCGUAGUAGUGAGUUUCUGAAUAAAGAAGCUGAGUACUACCGAUUCGCAGUAUGGAAGCGGUAUUGUUCUUUGACAGUUGAGGAAGGGAAGGCCAUGUUUGUCAUCUUGCCGAUGGCAGACCUCCAAGUGGAUGCUUGGGGAUAUAU
rnacentral:misc_RNA from 1 species